rnacentral:lncRNA from 1 species
UGUUCUCCUAGACCACUUGAAUUACUCAGAUGAAUUGAAAGUUGGAAUUACAUUGGAUUUCAACCGAAUCGCCCCCAUCAAUCCUCCUAAAGAGAGGUGGAAUUUAUUAGUUCCAUUUUUGUAUUAUUGAUUGUCAAACUGAUUUGCUUACGUGAUUAGUGGCCCCAAAAUUGGUGGUUUCCUCCUUGGACGGAUUCUUGACUUUUAACAGCAAUCCUCCAUGAUACUGGGAGAUAUGUUGAAGAUUUAUAUUUAUGAAUUCAUACCACUGAAAUUGGUGGGUAGGAUUUGUACGAGCCCAAGGUAGAGUUUCGAGUCAGGCUUGUAGGUUAAAGCCCAAUUGUAAAUAUAAGUGAUUAGUACUUAGGCUUGGUGGUCC